CAAGUCGAACGCGAAAGUGGAGCAAUCCAUGAGUAGAGUGGCAAACGGGUGAGUAACGCGUGGGUGACCUGCCUUCGAGUGGGGGAUAACGUUCCGAAAGGGACGCUAAUACCGCAUGACAUCCAGCCUUUGAAGAGGCGGAGAUCAAAGCCGGGGAUCGCAAGACCUGGCGCUCGAUGAGGGGCCCGCGUCUGAUUAGCUAGUUGGUGGGGUAACGGCUCACCAAGGCAACGAUCAGUAUCCGGCCUGAGAGGGCGGACGGACACACUGGGACUGAGACACGGCCCAGACUCCUACGGGAGGCAGCAGUGGGGAAUUGUUCGCAAUGGGCGCAAGCCUGACGACGCAACGCCGCGUGGAGGAUGAAGAUCUUCGGGUCGUAAACUCCUUUCGAUCGAGACGAAUAGCUUCCGGGUAAACAAUCCGGAGGUUUGACGGUACCGAGAGAAGAAGCCCCGGCUAACUCCGUGCCAGCAGCCGCGGUAAUACGGGGGGGGCAAGCGUUGUUCGGAAUUACUGGGCGUAAAGGGCUCGUAGGCGGCCAACUAAGUCAGACGUGAAAUCCCUCGGCUUAACCGGGGAACUGCGUCUGAUACUGGAUGGCUUGAGUUUGGGAGAGGGAUGCGGAAUUCCAGGUGUAGCGGUGAAAUGCGUAGAUAUCUGGAGGAACACCGGUGGCGAAGGCGGCAUCCUGGACCAACACUGACGCUGAGUGAGCGAAAGCCAGGGGAGCAAACGGGAUUAGAUACCCCGGUAGUCCUGGCCCUAAACGAUGAAUGCUUGGUGUGGCGGGUAUCGAUCCCUGCCGUGCCGAAGCUAACGCAUUA
rnacentral:rRNA from 1 species